CGGGGCGUGGCGCAGCCUGGGUAGCGCGCUUGACUGGGGGUCAAGAGGUCGGUGGUUCAAAUCCACUCGCCCCGACUA
rnacentral:tRNA from 1 species